UCUCCUUUAACCAUUCGUUGCAAAGCCGUAAAUCGAUUCGAACAUUUACACGUGAUUACUGCUGUCAUGGCAGCAAUAAUCGGUCUGAGGACCCAUACAUUUUUAAAAAAGAAAAUAAAUAAAUAAAUAAAGGAGAAAGAAAAAGUUAGGCCACACGGAUAAUAGGACAGUCAAGGAUCAACAGUGACUCGGUUGUCACUCUCUGGCGUGAACUCAACGACAACGAGGGAUUUCCGACCGACAACACGAGACCUUCCUGCCGGGAUCUACACGUGUGCCUACUGUGAAAUUAUCCAAGGUUGAUGGGCCCUCCCUUCACUCAAACAGGGGUCGUCCUUGCACAGUUUGUCCUCACUUGACUGGUGACUCCAAACCAGAGGCAGCAUGUGAAGUAGCUGCAUGGCUGCCCUACUUGCAUCUGUAUAUAAAGGCAACCUGUAUAGAGGGCUGCCUGAAAAAAUAUGAUGUGACAUGUGGGAUGAGCAAGACGGAGCGAGAGGAGGAGGCGGACGCCGGGGUUGAUGUAUUUGCAAAGGACACUUCACCAUCGCCAGUCUGACAUUGACAGACUUCAUCCUGACAAACUGGUGCAUACUUGAAGGAGGACAUGCCUGACACAUAUGAACCAGCUUUCCACUCUGGUGGCCUAAAAACUUGGGGACAAGACAGGAAGUGAGAAGCAGACAGAGAAAGACAGAGAAAGGGAAGGUACAACAAUUUCAGAACUUGGAUGCCGUGAGUUGCAGCGAGUUCAUCCAGCCCCCGUCCUACCCCUUGAAUAGUCCUGCUCGAUAAGUGAACUUUGAUAGCCCACAUGAUGUUAACUUUGCGUGAUUUAUUUGGCUGCGUCGCGAUGACAUUGGACGAAGAGCAACAAAUCGGAAAGAAAGAGAGAAAGAGCAGGAUAGACUCGAUCCCCCAAAACUAGGACAGUCACUGUCUAGAAAUGUGGACUCAUGUUCCUGUUUCCAGCGAUUCCCAUGAGCCUGCUUACUCCAAAGCGCAGUCGGUUCAGUACUGCCCACCGGCCGCUUUUCGCUGUCCUUAGCAGCCUCGUGUGUUGUUGACGUCUGAUCUUAUGAACACUGAAGCGUAAGUGAGUUAAGGCAUCGCACCACAGCAAGUACUGGACACUCUUGUCUCUUGGAAUAUAUCCAAACAGUUCAACAUUCAUCUCCCCCAAAGGCGCCAGACGGGCAUAAGUACAUGGGUAAAAUGUGACCGCAUCGUCUGCAAUUAGAGAACACAAUUUGUGCAGAAGUUGUACUUGAAUGGUUGAAAUGUACGAUGUUAGACGCGAACUUGGAAUGGUUUAAAUCGGUCAAGAAAUGUGAAAAGAGAACAUGUGGAAAUACCAGAUUUGUUUUAAUUUUGUCAUGAGGAAAAGUGAGAUGCUGAAUAUUUGGCAAUUUCGUUGUUAGAAUGCCCAUUUCGACACGUGGUUUACUAUUUAUAUUGUUUCUCUUGUAUUUGAUUGUUGUCGUGUCCUGUGUCAAAUUGACUUCCCUUCUCAGUUUCCUCUUUUUGUCCACACGCUCGUGUUUUUGCAGCUGAGCGAGGAAACAAAAAGUGAUGCAGUGAGUCCGCAAUAAUAAAGGAAGGCCGGUUGGAAUAUUUUCGGACUUUUUCAAAGCUCUGGCUGAUGCUCUGUAUAUCAUUAUCCAUCUGUUUGGCUUGAGAAGAACUGGCUCGCGGAGGGGACGCGGAGCCUCGCGUGGACAUCUGCCAGCCUACCUACGCCUUGCCUCUGCCGCCCCAUUAGCAUCAUGUGGCGCCUGGCGCCCGUCCAAGUGAGACAGUGUGACCUUAAUCUCUGUGCCUGUCACUGAGCUCCGAACGCAUCUGGUCAAGUCCAGAUGCACGGUCAUGGCCGCCUCCUCCGUUUCUCGCCCCGUGGUCGACGUGACGAUUCCGGCGCGUUGUCGCCGCUUCCUCCCGCAGUCGACAAAGACGCCUCAGGUUGUACCGCACUUGGCAUAUUUUCAAAUGGGUCAGUCUCUGUUUGAUAGUGUUUCUUUAUCGGUUGCCCAGGAAGCUACCUAUUACGAUAAUCUGAUGCUGACUCAUACUCGUAUCGAACUAUCGCUUCCUUUUCCG